rnacentral:rRNA from 1 species
CGACGUAAAAGCUCGCCAGAGUACCAAUUGGAGGGCAAGUCUGGUGCCAGCAGCCGCGGUAAUUCCAGCUCCAAUAGCGUAUAUUAAACUUGUUGCAGUUAAAAAGCUCGUAGUUGAACUUCAGCCAUUGGUGUCAUCGCGCGUGUCGCCUUGAGUCCGUUGGCUUAUCUUUUUACUUUGAGAAAAUUAGAGUGUUUCAAGCAGACUUUUGUCUUGAAUACUUCAGCAUGGAAUAAUAGAGUAGGACCUUGGUUCUAUUUUGUUGGUUUCUGAACCUGGGUAAUGGUUAAUAGGAACGGUUGGGGGCAUUCGUAUUUAACUGUCAGAGGUGAAAUUCUUAGAUUUGUUAAAGACGAACUACUGCGAAAGCAUUUGCCAAGGACGUUUUCAUUAAUCAAGAACGAAAGUUAGGGGAUCGAAGACGAUCAGAUACCGU